rnacentral:rRNA from 1 species
GACGAACGCUGGCGGCGUGCUUAACACAUGCAAGUCGAACGGGGUCCAUGAGAGCUUGCUCUCGGAAGACCUAGUGGCGAACGGGUGAGUAACACGUGAGAAACCUGCCUCGGAGUGGGGAAUAACUCGAGGAAACUCGAGCUAAUACCGCAUACCUUCAUUUGACCGCAUGGUCAGUUGAAGAAAGAUUUAUCGCUCUGAGAGGGUCUCGCGGCCUAUCAGCUUGUUGGUGGGGUAACGGCCUACCAAGGCAACGACGGGUAGCUGGAUUGAGAGAUCGACCAGCCACACUGGAACUGAGACACGGUCCAGACUCCUACGGGAGGCAGCAGUGGGGAAUCUUGCGCAAUGGGCGAAAGCCUGACGCAGCAACGCCGCGUGCGGGAUGAAGGCCUGCGGGUUGUAAAGCACUUUCAGUGGGGAAGAACAGAUUCGGGUCAAUACCCGGAGCCCUGACGUUACCACAGAAGAAGCACCGGCUAACUCCGUGCCAG